rnacentral:rRNA from 1 species
UACAGAGGUGGCAAGCGUUGUUCGGAAUUACUGGGCGUAAAGGGCGCGUAGGCGGCCAUCUAAGUCAGACGUGAAAUCCCUCGGCUUAACCGGGGAACUGCGUGUGAUACUGGAUGGCUAGAGGUUGGGAGAGGGAUGCGGAAUUCCAGGUGUAGCGGUGAAAUGCGUAGAUAUCUGGAGGAACACCGGUGGGGAAGGGGGCAUCCUGGAGCAGCACUGAAGCUGAGUGAGCGAAAGCCUGGGGAGCGAACGGG